rnacentral:tRNA from 1 species
GGUUGUGGCUCAGUGGUAGAGCGCUUGCCUAGCACCUUGGAGGCCCUGGGUUCGAUCCUCAGCACCA